GCUGGCGGCGUGUUCACACAUGCAAGGAGNACGAACCUUCGGGUUAGUGGCGGACGGGUGAGUAACGCGUGUGACCCUGCCCUCAGGAGGAAAAUAACGGUUGGAAACGACCGCUAAUACCCCAUAUGCCGAGAGGUGAAAAGAAAUUCGCCUGAGGAUGAGCUCGCGUCUGAUUAGCUAGUUGGUGUGGUAAUGGCGCACCAAGGCUUCGAUCAGUAGCUGGUCUGAGAGGAUGAUCAGCCACACUGGGACUGAGACACGGCCCAGACUCCUACGGGAGGCAGCAGUGGG
rnacentral:rRNA from 1 species